UACGUAGGCGGGUAAUUAAGUCAGUAGUGAAAUCCCGCAGCUCAACUGUGGAACUGUCAUUGAUACUGGUUUUCUUGAAUUUAGUUGAGGUAGGCGGAAUGUGUAAUGUAGCGGUGAAAUGCUUAGAUAUUACACAGAACACCGAUUGCGAAGGCAGCUUACUAAACUAUGAUUGACGCUGAGGUACGAAAGCGUGGGGAGCGAACAGGAUUAGAUACCCUGGUAGUCC
rnacentral:rRNA from 1 species